AGGUGUGGGUCCUUAUCAACGGGAUCCGUGCCGUCGCUAACGCAUUAAGUGCCCCGCCUGGGGAGUACGGCCGCAAGGCUAAAACUCAAAGGAAUUGAACGGGGGCCCGCACAAGCAGCGGAGCAUGUUGCUUAAUUCGAUGCAACGCGAAGAACCUUACCUGGGUUUGACAUGGUGGGAAAAGCCGUAGAGAUACGGUGUCCUUCGGGGCCCAUCACAGGUGGUGCAUGGCUGUCGUCAGCUCGUGUCGUGAGAUGUUGGGUUAAGUCCCGCAACGAGCGCAACCCUUGUCCUAUGUUGCCAGCGGGUAAUGCCGGGGACUCGUAGGAGACUGCCGGGGUCAACUCGGAGGAAGGUGGGGACGACGUCAAGUCAUCAUGCCCCUUAUGUCCAGGGCUGCAAACAUGCUACAAUGGCCGGUACAAAGGGCUGCUAGCCCGCGAGGGUGAGCGAAUCCCAUAAAGCCGGUCUCAGUUCGGAUUGGAGUCUGCAACUCGACUCCAUGAAGCCGGAGUUGCUAGUAAUCCCGGAUCAGCACUGCCGGGGUGAAUACGUUCCCGGGCCUUGUACACACCGCCCGUCACACCACGAAAGUCGGCAACACCCGAAGCCGGUGGCCCAACCCUCUGGGAGGGAGCCGUCGAAGGUGGGGUCGGUGAUUGGGGUGAAGUCGUAANCNAGGUACC
rnacentral:rRNA from 1 species